rnacentral:tmRNA from 1 species
GGGGGCGUCAGGUUUCGACAGGGCCGGACCGAGUCUUGGUUGCGAGCGGUGGUUGAUCAGUAGGCCACCUUAAAAGCUGAUCAAAAAAGCAAAUGCGAACAACAACUUCGCUUUCGCUGCCUAAGGUAACCCCUUAGCUCAGUGAGGUCCUCCGGGGGAGCGUCGGUAGCUUCCGGUCAGGGUCUGAUACAAC